rnacentral:sRNA from 1 species
UGUAUCUGAAGCCUGACGAGGAUGAGAACCUCCGGGGGCAAGAGGUUCGACCCGAGCGAAGCGAGAGAACGUUGCGUCAGCAACGGCCCGCAGGGCGAGCCACGC